rfam:Solanum tuberosum cultivar DM 1-3 516 R44 scf00194_67, whole genome shotgun sequence.
UUGGAGGAUUUGAAGACUUCUACUUGCAUACUUGAAGAAUUUGAAGACUUCAACUUGCAUACUUGAAGGAUUUGAAGAAUUCUACU